UCAAAGAACAAAAGGAGUGACUUUUGAAGCAAGUGCACUCCUUUGCGGAGGCAGAAAGAUUCUACCAGGUCUCCCCACUCCUCCUGCAAACUCACAAUCAGCCAAGCUGGAUGGAAUUGAAGCAAUGAUUAAGUCAGAUUCGGAUGUGAGCAAUCACCUGUGGCCUGCAAGGGCUGAGCCCUUAGAUACCAAUUUUUCUGCUGUUGACAGGCUCUGGAUCCUGCAUAUAAGCAGCUAAAAACCUCCAUAGAAGAUGAAGAGCUAAUAUUGUGGAAUAAUAAUUCCAAUGGCAUAUGUGGAUGAACUGGCACAGAGAAGGCAGGAUAUGAUUUUGCUUCACGAGUGGUGUCCUAAUUAUCCCUCUGGGAUCAACGUUACUUCUACCUCAUUUUUCUCUUCAGUGUUAUUGAUUGCAAGUGGGGCAGCCAUCUGAAUGUUUAAGGGGAGGCUUGUACCCCAUAAUCAGUGAGUUGAUGGUGCCAUAAAUGGGAAAACCUGGGCCUAAAAUUGCUGCCUUGAAAUACUUGAAGAGGUUUAAUGACAAAAUUGCACCAAAGGCUAUCUUUGCUCUUAAAAGCUUUACCAAAGAGAUUCUUCUACUACACCAGCCAUGAAAAUAAUCAUUAACCUAAAACCUAAAUCCUUAAAUAAAUCAAGGCAGAUAGAAUUCAAACCAAGCAGCAAUGCCUCAAAAAAAAA